UCAUUAGAUUAUCCCUAGGACCAUAGUGGCCCAUCAGGUCAUUACAUAACUCAAAAUUACAUAAAAAUGCUUAUUUUACUUAAAUUAAACACAAAAAAAAACUAAAAAUGAAAUAAAAACACAUAAAAAUGCUAUCAAACAACUUUGAUGAGUUUUGGAAAGACCUCAAUUUGCCACAACGAAUUGUGGUAGAUCAAACUCCCCCACAUUUAAGUUAUUCUUGUCCUUAAGCAACAAGAUAAAAAAAAAACAGAAUAAAACACAAACACACAAGAAAACAAAAUCAAAUAGUGCUUGAGCAUGUCAUAUGAAAGGACUAGAUCAGAACUAUGUACAUAGGACAAUGUGUAACGCCCUUAACCCAACCCGAAUCGUUGGAUUUAGAUCUUGGGUACUAUAUCAUGACUCUUAACAAAUUAUUUGAACAAACAUUACC
rnacentral:lncRNA from 1 species